rnacentral:rRNA from 1 species
AUGAAGGCGGAAUUGCUAGUAAUCGCGGAUCAGCAUGCCGCGGUGAAUACGUUCCCGGGCCUUGUACACACCGCCCGUCACACCAUGAGAGUUUGUAACACCCAAAGCCGGUGGGGUAACCUUUUGGAGCCAGCCGUCUAAGGUGGGACAGAUGAUUGGGGUGAAGUCGUAACAAGGUACC